rnacentral:rRNA from 1 species
GGCCUCAAAUCAGGUAGGACUACCCGCUGAACUUAAGCAUAUCAAUAAGCGGAGGAAAAGAAACUAACAAGGAUUCCCCUAGUAACGGCGAGUGAAGCGGGAAGAGCUCAAAUUUGAAAUCUGGUGGACUUUGUUCAUCCGAGUUGUAAUCUAGAGAAGUGUUUUCCGUGCUGGCCAAUGUACAAGUCCCUUGGAACAGGGCGUCAUAGAGGGUGAGAAUCCCGUACUUGACAUUGAUCACCGGUGCUCUGUGAUACACUUUCAAAGAGUCGAGUUGUUUGGGAAUGCAGCUCAAAAUGGGUGGUAAAUUCCAUCUAAAGCUAAAUAUUGGCGAGAGACCGAUAGCGAACAAGUACCGUGAGGGAAAGAUGAAAAGCACUUUGGAAAGAGAGUUAAACAGUAUGUGAAAUUGUUA